AGGAAGCUUCUUUUUAUAGAUGUUGGUUUCAGACAGUGCCAGCACUCAUUACAGCACCCAUCCAAUCUUCGUGGUAAACUCACUGUGACCUGGCCUUACGAGGAAACUUGGCAGCUAUGCCUCCCCGGACUUGUUGCUGACCUAACCUGAAAUCCUGCUUUAGAUUGAGUCAGCAGUGUAUCUCAUGACUUGUGGGUGAUAGAUUCUUUUAUAUAAAACCAUAAAGCAAAAGGCCCUUUCUGCAUCGUGUUGAAUUUCCCAGAAGCUGUGACCAAGGGAUUAGACGGAGGUGAAAAAGCCUAAGAGGGAGUGGUAAGCAGCGAGGAACCCUGCAUGCCUUGGCUUAGCCAUGCCUUGACUUGCCUGAUUCUGUGAGGACUUGCCUGAUUCUGAACUGCGGUGUCUUAAGGAUCUGUUUCCUCGUGAACUCUGACUCAUGCCUCUGAUGUAGGCUAGCUGCUUCAUAUCUCAGCCUCACUGUCUUCUGCUCUGUGGACAAGCUGCCUGCCCACAGAAGGCCUAAAGGAUGGUCUGGGAAUGUGCUCACAUUUCUUGAACACAGAAGGUGGGGUCUUUACAGUUCUUCUCCCUGUGUCUCUGGGGCCCUAAUGGAAAAACCUUUCUCCUUUGAGUUUUCAAAACAACCCUGGAAAAUGGGUAGGUUCAGGCUUAGUAUUUAAUAGAAUUUUGCAAAUAAACUGUGCUUAGAGUGGUGAUGAAACUUAGUUACCCAAAGUUACUUGGCUGGUGAAGGAAAAUGCUAGAAGGCUCAGGUCAUUUGGCUCCAGAGCGUGUGCUUCUUACAUGGUGUAGAUUCUCGUCUCUUUGUAGAAAUGGAAACACAAAGUUAGACAUACAUUGCUUCCUUUCUGAUAAUAACUACAUCAGUCAGGGUUCAAACAGAGAAGCAGAGCCCACAUAAAAUUUAUCGCAAGGAAUUGGCUUAGGCAACCGUGAGGAUAGAUUAAAUAGAGUUGCUCCCAUAGGGCAUGAUUUUGGCAGACCAAGAGCAGAGUGUCAACACCUACUUGGCGUCAGCUUGGGCUAGGUCAUGACAUGGCAAAGGGCACCAUGGGCAGAGGCAGAGGAAGCUGGUCAGUCUGAGAGCAUUUCUGUAGCAAAACCACAUCCAAAGUCACUCCUUAAUCUAUUAAUCCAUGAGUCCAUGAAUGAGUGUCUCUAAUUAUGAGACUUACAGAGUUCUCACAUGGUCCUGAUUCUUAGUAUCUUACAAGGCAGACUGCAUUUCAACAUGGACAUUGGUGGGAAUAGUCAAACCAUAGCAUAUAUAACAUAAGCUGAAAUGUGAGAUUUCUGAGGUUAGAGAGUGUGUGUGUGUGUGGGGGGGGGGUCUAUGCUCUCAUUUUAGAAGUUUCCAACUGGUUAUGUCAAGAGCUACCAGGACCAUCUCACUAUUGAUGAAUACAAAGUCCAUUGAUUAGAAUCAUUAAUUAUACUUGCACGAUCCCUUCACAACAAUGAAUGUCUGGAUUUGAAGUUACUUAAUCACCAGAAAAGAUGUGCAUAUGUUACUAUGAGGCUGCUGUCCUCUGUCACCCCUGCAGCAUUCAGGAUAGGGCAUUCUCUACAACAGCCCUGAGGGAAAAUAUAUUAGAAAGGGGAUCCGGGGACUUCAAUUGAAUCAUAUUGAAGCAUUAUACUAACAAGCCAAAGUCCCCAUCUGAAACAUAUCUCCCUGGUGAUGUAGUUCUUAGCAUUGCAUAAACCUUCUGGUCACCAUGGAGACAGGUGAGCAAACUUGGAAGCUGAUCGGUCAGCAUGAAUCCACUCUCAGCAUUUCUGCUAUCAGUUUCCAAGAAAAGAACAUUUGCGCAUAUUGGUUCUUGUGAACUGAUUUUCUGGAAGUUUUCCGGAGAAGCUUCACAUGGGAAGGAUUAUUCAUGAGUGCUGCCAGUACAUGUUCUAGGGUUGAACUUGUGAAUUUUUUUUAACUGUUUUAGACAAAACCAAACCAAAGUAAAAACAACCAAACCUACUAAAAGGAUAAACAAACAAUUACAGCAGGUUGUUUAUUUCUUUUUUAAUCAGGUAAAAGUUUUGAUUCUCCCCUUGGUGGUGAAAAUUACUUGUUAAUGCUGGACAUACCAAUGGUUGACCCAAGGACCAACUGACCAUUUGUCUUAGCAGAAAUCAAAUACUUCUUUGCUCUUGUCACAUAUAAUUUUCCAUUAAAGAGCAAGCACCUACGAUUCUCUAGAGAAGAACAGUCAAUAGCAUGGUGUUUGUGUGUGCACACAAAGAUUCUGUGCAAGGAAAAGGCUCAUGAAAUUACAGAGAACAUCCAGUCCCAGGCCCAGUAAGGAUUUACUUGGCAAGGUAAAAUCCUAGGAAAACUUGCUACAUCAUACAUUCUGAAGGUUGGAAAUUACUGAGGUCCCAGUUGUAACUUCCAGGCAAGAGAAGUGACCUGAGGCCUUUUGUUCUAUUCCAAUCUUCAAUUCACUGGUAAAGCCCACUCAUGUUAGGGAAGACUUUCUGUUUAACUCUGAUUUACAUAUUAAACUCAUCUAGAAACCUCUAGAAUAGCCUAACAUUUAUCCAAAUAUAUGGGUGUUCCUUGGCCUAGUCUGACUUAAAAUUACUCAUUAUCAUAAGUUUAGUUUGAUUCUAAGCAUGAAAGACAAAUCUCAGUGAGCUCAGAGAGGUUCUGAUUCUCAAACUUUUGCAUCUGUUGGGUUUUCACAUGACUUUCUCAGCUUGAGGAGUUCCUGUCGUGCGCUUUCCUUCAAGACACCACACUUAGCCAUUUGCCUAUAGAUGCAGAGUUGAACCUCAUUGUUAACAAACAUGAUAAGGCCACCUCAUUACCUGCUUCUCAUACUAGUAGUUCUCAACCUGUGGGUCUAGACCCCUUUUGGGUUGACACUCCUUCACAGAGGUUACAUAUCAGACAUCCUGCAUAUCAAAUAUUUACAUUAUGAUUCAUAACAGUAGCAAAAUUACAAUUAUGAAGUAGCAAUGAAAAUAAUUUUAUGGUUGGGGGUCACUACAACAUGAAGAUGUAUAUUAAGGGGUUGCAGCAUUGGGAAUGUUGAGAACCAUUGUUCUAGAGAGAGGACACAAUUUCAGGAAGAGCCUCCAUCCAGGAGCACUGGCCACUUCUGCUGUAGAUUUCUGACUUGUGUUAAUCAAAAAAGGCAUCCUUAGCAAAUAUUCUUGUGUUUACACUUGUGUCAGUGGGUUUGGUUACCAUGGCAGCAUGGAGCAUGUCAACAAUGGUUUCUGUAGACUGCACAAAGAACCCCAGCUUGUGCCUAAAAUGUAAGUUUCCCCAAUAUGUAAACUUUAUUCCUGCAUUUCUUCAGUUUAGGUUGAUGAGAAGAGAUGCUAGGGUGCCAGCUCUGAGCCUGGACUCCAGGAUGCCUUGCACAAUUUGGGGCUUUCUCUUGGAAUCUUUUCCAAAUUAUCUAUCAACAGCCUCAACUCAUCUUGUUGCAAAAUGGGAGAUUAUAUAAAUUAGAGAUAAGCCAUCAUUGCUGAGGCUGUUCUAGACCAGAACAUGUCAACUGCCUUAGAAGGUCAAACACAGAUAUAUUAAUAAACUCAGUAAAUCCAGAAGGGUAAUCUAGGUAGCCCUGAACAGAACCCAAAUACCUACCCACAGCCAACCUGCAAAAGCGUUGGUAAGACCAAUGGCUACUGUCUCAAGCCACUAGCUCUGGAGUGGAUUUUCUUUGCCAGGAGAUCUAACUGAAACAGUUACCUAUCAAUUUUAUUCGUAGAUUGGCAUUCUCUAGACCAACUCCUGGAGCAUUUCUGUACCUCAGAGUUUUAGAGUAAAGGGUUAACAGGAUAUUUCUGCAAAACUCCACCCUAUUCCUCCCAGUGAUUUUCCUAAUACAGCAUCACUCUUAAAUGCUCUGAAGUGGCAUGUGUAUGCUGAACAGAAUUUGGUAGUCUUGACAAUUUAGGAUAGAAGCCAUCUGACAUAAGCCACUUACUUGGAAUAUCUUUUAAGAAGCUUUUCCUUGGAUCCCUAAAGAGUUUAAGAAAGACUUUGCCAUGGCUUCCUUUCUAACUGGCCAAGUGGCCUGAGCAGAUGGUAGCUAGGCUCAUUUCCUAUCACAUCCCCAUUCGACAGUUGAACUUCUUUGACCCCAGUGAUGUCAGAGAGUUGAAGAAUUCCAGAGCUGUUCAGAGGAAGUGAAGGAACAAUUUCAAAAGAUAUUCAUAGGUUUUCAUGACUGUGAAUCAUAUCUUAAGACUCUGUGGCUACCUUUGAAGCUCUAAACCACAUGAUGUAUGUCAUUUACCCAGCAUCUGUGCAAUUCCUGUGGCUUAGGUUGCCCAAAGUCCCCAGUGAGUUGAAAAUGAACUGUAACCAACAAGAAGAUCAUUGGUAAAAUCUUUGAGUAUAUUAGUCUGAAAUAUUUGGCCACACCACUAGCCAAAAGCUUACUGAAGUUUGCAUUUCCUUGACUAUGAGGAAUCUUUUCUUCAGUGGAACUAGUGAGAUCAAAAUGGAGUCUUUCUUAGAGAUGUAGCUUUUGAGGUGAUAUGUCUCAUAACUUAAAGUAUGCUCAAGAUUCUUCACAGUGGGCUAAUUAAAUAUGAGAUUUCCUAUUGACCAAGAGGUACACGAGAUGGCUCAGAGACUAAUAGAGGUUAUGUGAAAGCUGGAGGGCCUGAGUUCGAGUUCCCUAGCAUUCAUAUAAUAUCAGAGUAUGGCUGCAUAUGCCUAUAACUUUAACACUGGCAUUAGAGGCAGAGAGGGAAGAUCCAAGGAACUCACUAGACAGCCAGCCUAGACAAAAUAACACAUUUUGUUAUGAGCAAGAGACUUUGUCUGAAGGGAACAAGGUGGAGAGUGAUGUAGCAGGACACUCAAAGGUCUUUUUGUGGCCUUUGUGCACACACACGAGUGCUUGCACUUGCAUGCAAAUGUACACACACACACACACACACACACACACACACACACGAACAAGUGACUACCACUGAACCAAUAAGAGAGUAUUAACUUUUUUAAAUCACCUCUCCCUCUGUAUGUAUGUGUGUGUCGGUCAAAAGACAGCUUUUAAGAGUUGUUUCUCUUCUUCUACCUUCGCAUGGGUUUCAUGGGGUUUGAGGAUCAAACUAACUCAAAUUGUUGUCAGAUUAGGGCAAGUGCUUUUGUCCACCGAGCCAUGUUGAUGGCCCAAGAACGGAUUUUUGAGUGGAUUUGAUCUAAGAGCACUUUUUUUUUUCUUAAUGGUGAAGAAAAACGGUAUCCCAGAAUUUUCUCUUAAAAGAUAUCCAAUUCGUCUCAGAAAAACAAAGUGUUAAUGUUGAUGAAAACAUAGUGUUACUGUAAAUUUUUUUCCCUCUUUUCCCACAUGGCAAUGAACAAAGAGAACUUCUGACAAUAGACUCAUGGUGAGGAGAGGAUUCUCUUUCCACACUAAGCAAUCAUCAGUGUUCAGCCGAAGACUCCCACAGAAUAUCAUCAUCUAAUUGAGUUCUUGUGGGGCCAGAAAGCCCUGUGACUAGGGAAGCCAAUCCAAAGCAAGAAUGAGGUCAAGACAUGUUUAAACCGGAAAAUCUCAUCCUGAGAGAGACAGGAGUAGGAUUACUUCCUCCUUGCUCUGGGCUGCAUGUCCCAGCACAUGUAAGCUUUUGGACCCUCACCCCAUCCCCACCCUCACCUCUCUUGAGAUGGUCACAUAGCCUGGUGGUCAGGUUUCAGAUUAAAGUUUCUCUCUCCUCAUAGGAACUUGCCCAGCUAGCACCUGGAAUUCUGUUUCAUGCAAAUGAAGCAUUCCUAGCCUCUUGGCCCUAGGCAAUGACAUAUACUCACCCAAAAAACCUCUUCCCACUCCCUAAGGUUUAUAUAGUGUUUGUUCACCCCUAAUAGAAGAGCUAUUUCACUGAAAACUGUCUCCAGAGACGAUUAUUUCUUCUGCACUCAAGCUGACCAAUAUCCUGUUAACCUACCCAGCCUGGCUAACCUUUAUUCCUUUACCACAGUGUCUGGAUAUUCUGAGGUGGAAAAGCAGAUUCGGACUGGCAAGUUCUGAUACUCACCUGGGAAUAAUGUUCAAGCUCACAGACUGAGCGUUCCAACCACAGGAUGUGUGUGGUAACAAGUACAUCACCUUCUUCAGCUGUCUUGAAGCCCCUAAAAUCUUGUCCUUUUGGGACACAGGACAGGAUCCCUCUGGAAGGAAGAAGAUUCCAUUACUACUAAAGGAGAGUAGAGUAUACUGUCAGUGUAUGAAGCAGAUGGGGUCAUCUGGCUUGUUUCUUGGAGUCAGAGUAAAACCUCAUUAUAGAUGGGUACUUGCCAAGAAUCCCAAACUCUGGAUACAGAGCAAAGGACACAUGGGACAGCAGAGAAGGAAACCCAGCAUCCUCAAACCCUGUGGGCAUGUGACCAUAAAGAGUAAGAAGACCUCAUCUGUUUCUCCUCCUUUUCAAGUCAUUUCCAAAACAAGAAAAAUGGAGCAUGGCCUCCAGAGGGAGACAGGUGUAGAACUUUCAGCUCCUCCUCCAGUCUCAAGUCUGCCUGGACGUUGCUAUGCUCCUGCCUUGAUGAUAAUGGACUGAACCUCUGAACCUGUAAGCCAGCCCCAAUUAAAUGUUGUUCCUUUUAAGAAUUUCCAUGAUCAUGGUGUCUCUUCACAGCAAGGAGACCGCUAACUAAGACACAGUAUUGGUAACUGUUUCAUUCCUAAUACCUGACUGAGAACUUUAGGGAUGUUUAGUUCGAUUCAAAGUAUGGGGACUGUAGCCUCUUAUGGAGUAGGAAGCAGGCAGCUGGGACGUCUGAGACUCAGAAGUUUGCUGUGGACCUUGUUCACGCCUUGAUUAUCAGAUGGAGAGAGGGGACAGGAAGCGGAGAAGGUAUCUAAGGGCCCAUCUCCAGUGAUCUAGUCUGCCAGAUAGCUCCUAUGGCCCAAAGGUUGUACAACUUCUUUAGAUAGUCCCACUAGCUGGGGUUUAAAUAUUGAAACACACGAGGAAUGCAUCCCAUACAACCCGAACAAUCAUUAUGUAAUUUACACAACCAUCCUUUACCUAUCCUCUCUUUAUCAUGGAUGACUUCAUGGAAAUUACAUUUUGAAGCAGAUGAAGAAGCUGCAGUGGUUUCUUUCUUUUCUUCACGUUUGUUUCUGAACUGGAUUGUGUACAAUGCUGAAUACAUUGCUCUUGGAUCUAGGUGACCAAUGCACUCCUGAUAGUUGAUCAAUUUAUGUGCUCAAAUGUGGAGACUGAGGGAGGGAAAUCCUACUAAACCACGGGGAGAGAGCAUGGCUAGAGCCAUAGCAGUUCUGCAGCAGGCAUUGGGUAACCUUAGGCAAGUUACUGCUCUGGAGAAUCUGUGUUUUUACCAGACAAUGAGAGGAACUACACACUCCUGUAGUCUUGAAAUGACAGUGAAGGGGAAACAAGUAUCUCUUUUUGAAGUAGGUUUUUGCUUCCUCAUAUAUAACCCCGUUCAUCAUCAGACCGUUGAGUGUUUUUUUUUUUUUUUUAACGAACUUUGCUUCAUUUUGGCUUCAUCUUCCCGCAUGCAGUGAUAACAACAGCACUUGACCCUGUGUCAGAAUGUAAUUAGAAAUUAAAAAAAAUCCAUACGUGUCUUGAGGUAUUCACGGUGGAGAUGUAAUGCGACGCUAUUGCUGCUAUCGACUUACAGCAGCCUUCUCUAAUCACAGGGCCCUGGGAUCUAUACUCAUCGGCAUUCCUGGUGUCUUCAGCAAAUUGGCAAGAAGGAAGGUUUGUGCAAGAAGGAGAGUUAGCCAGCGACAGAGGGACUGCAUAAUUUGUUGCCUAAGUGGGGACAUAAUUGGAAAUAAAAGGGAAAGCCAGGCCAUCCAGGUCAAUCAAGGUCACCUUGCUUUUAACAGUUGGGCACCAAGAUUGUUCCUGCCUUGCAAUAGCCAGCCUCUACCAACCACGCUGCUGCCAUUUAGACAUGGUUAGGAUGGUAAUCAAAUAUUAUGUAAACCCCACAGCAUGUGUGCAACAUGUAUAGUUUUAUAGACUUGCUUAUUAAUGUCUGAAGGAGCAUUGUGUUGGCUAACUUAGGUUUUCUGUGUUGAAGAGAACUCUUGAGUAAGAGAAUAGUAUGGGCACAGCAAGAGAGGAAUCAGCUGGUCCUUUUAAAUCACUCAACUCAGAGUUCAACCAGGGUCUCAUGUGCUCAGCCUCUCACCUGUCCCACCUGCCCGUCUCUUCUAGUUUAUGUGUCUCCAGCCCUUGGCAAUUUGAUGCUGGUACUAAAAGAACUAUUAAAAGCACCACUCUGCCAUGUAUUUCCUGCCAUGUUGGACAUGAGUUCCCUGACACUGGUUCUUCUACAUAGCCGUGGAUGUCCUGGACUCAUUCUGUAGAACAGGCCACCCUAGAACUAGUAGAGAUCUGUCUGUCUCUGCCUCCUGGGUGCUGGGCUUAAAGGUAGGAAGAGGAUGAAUUUCCCACAAUCCCAGGUACGGCGUUCAGUUUGUGGAGCAAAAGCAUCAGAGAUAAUGGACUUAAAUGCAAGAAAAGAAGACUCAGCAUGCAGAUCUGCACUCAGGUCUGCAAAGUAACAGGUUAACAAAGGAGAAGGCUGAUGUACAGAAGAAAAUGGAUUUUAUGAGCAGGCAAACACAUGGAUUCUAGGCCCCAGACAUACUGAGAGAAUCCAAUUCCUGUUAAUCCAUUUGCUGUUGCUUCAAACUGGCUACUUUCAAGAACUGUACAAUGUACCAAUACGUGGGCUGCUAAGACUCUGAAACAGACAAUGUGCCAAACAAAACCGAACUCUUUAGAUAAGAAAACUGACUUAUGCAUCUUCUUUUCUGCCACGCUAGAGAAUCGAACUCACUACGGUGAGUGCUUGGUAAGUGUUCUAGUUACAGAGUUGUUCAUCCAGCCCUGGAGUUUUACCUAGUCUUAGGAGUGUCAAAGGGAGAAUCAAAAAACAAAAUAAAAAUGGCCAGUAAAGGCUUGUGUUGUCUUGAGGAAAAAAUGCUUCCUCAUGAGCUGCUCAUUUCUUCAGCUGGUGGUCUCGGCUGGCACAGGACAAUUUAACAAAUGCAAACCCUAAGUGCCCCCUCUCGUCUUCUCUCUCUGUCUCUGUCUCUCUCUCUCUGGGUUCCUGUUUCUUUCUCUCUCUGUAUCUCUGUCUCUGUCUCUGUCUCUCUGUCUCUGUCUCUCUGUCUUUCUUCUCUCUCUCUCUCUCUCUGUCUCUCUGUCUCUCUCUCUCUCUCACACACACACACACACACAGAGAGAGAGAGAGAGAGAGAGAGAGAGAGAGAGAGAGAGAGAAAUCUGCUAUCUCAAAGCAAACAGCUUCAUCAAUUAGAUGCUCUAUCCUUCUAACCAGCUCCCUGCUCACAUGCCCCCAUCCCUCAAUAGGUGCUAUAAUAGGGCAGUGAGAAGAUCAUAGGAGAGCAGUUAGAGUCAGUGAAUGAGCGGUUGCAUUUGGCAAUGCCCCCAUCACAUGGCAGUCCAUCAGAGGCAUCGGACGUUUCAUCUUUGCUACCAGCUCUCUAUAAAAUUUAUGAUACAUUUGAUCUUCCUAUCUGUAUUCAUUAUUUUUCUCACUACUGUGACCCAAGAGCAGCUUAAGAAAGGAAGGAUUCAUUCUGGCUCCUGGUUUGAGUGUGGAGUCCAUAAGGGCUGGGAGGGAAGUCAAGGCAGCAGGAGCUUUAAGCAGUUGUUCAAGUUGCAUCUCCAGUCAGAAGACAAAGAGACGACUACUGGUCUUCAGCUUACUUUGUCUUUUUUUUGUUCAGUUGAGGAUCUCAACUCAUAGAUAGUGCCUGCCUACACUCACGCUAAGUCUUCUUACCUAAACUAGUCUAAUCUGAAAACUCUCUUACCGAUACAUGCAAAGGUCUAUUUCAUGGUGAUUCUAAUUCUAACCAAGUCAGUCUGAAAGAGCAAAUGUUGCACUCAGGUGCUUGGUCAAUGUGUAAUCUUUACAGCCCUCAUAACACUGAGAUGGCUGGCUUAUACUUCCAGAGUUUCCAAGUCAUAGGGGAUGAUAUGAUGGUCCCCUAAGAUACGUUUCCAGCAAGAUCCCUGGGGAAAUCGCUGCUAGUCAUGUAGAACUUCAUUUCAAGAGCCAGUACUCUAGCUGAGCUCUAAGCUAGACUCCAGGUUCCAGUAACUAGGACCUAUGGUUUAGCAGAGAGGUGCGUUGGAGCUGUUUGGCAAUGAGGAGGCUCCUAUUUAUGCCAAAGGCAGUGUGGAGAUCUUAGUAAUCAACAUGAUUGACAUGCAAUCAAUAAGAGGCCUGCCUCUGGGAUCUAUGAGGAUUUCCUGGAAGCAUUAACUCAAUAAGGAAGACCUUCAUGGUAGGCUGCAGCUUCUGGCAGCAAUCUGGAUAGACAACAGGUCUGUGGUGAGAACAGGAUGGCUUUUGCAUUUCUGUCUUCUUUGCACCCUGUUAUUGAGUGUAUUGUCCUUGUCACUGCCGCUACUACUGUUAGUCUUCACCAAUAUCAGAACUCAGCUUCCUCAGCCUUCCAACGUGGGCUGAAGACAGGGAACAUUCCAGGCUUUCAUUGCCAGUCUGGGACUGCUGAAGCAUCCAACCUGUGGACUGAAGAGCUAACUGGCUUUCAGCUUCUCUAGCACGCAGAUGGUCAUUGUUGAACUACUCAGGCCAAAUCUUUUAAGCCAAUCUAAUAAAUCCCCUUUGUAAUAUAUAUUAAUUCUACUGUACUGUUCCUUUAGAGAACCCUGACUAAUACAGGCAGGAUGUCAGAGGGAAGCAGAGGCAUAUGAUUAACUCCAGCUCAUGUAUGGGUAAAGCCAGAGGGCUUGUGUCCCUGAGAAUUGACAUUCCUCAAGCAGUAAUUAGGCCGAGUUUUAAGACAUCAGAAAACACUCAUUUUAGAAGGUUGAUUCCAAGGCUGCUUGGGAGUGUGAGUGCCAAUCGGGAAGGAAGUCAAAGGGCUCGGUACAAGGCACUGGCCCACAGGAAAGACGGAAGCUGGAGGUUAUGUGGAUUCACAAACUGACUCAUUCCAGGCUUGAGACCGGCAGACCAAUUUCAGCCCCAGGCACAGCAGAGUGAGGAGGUGUGGGCGCUGACCAAACUCUGAGCCAAGGCAGACAUUGGAUAAAAAUCUCACAAUUGUGUUCAAAAGAUGCCUAUUCAGGGCCUAUCACAAUUAGAUUCAACAGGCAGGGCCUCCUAAGAUCAUGGUGUUUCUCAAAUUCUUUUUGACAUUGACUAUGUUUUUCAGUCGAGGAAGAAACUUUUUUCACUAGGAACCUUGACUUUAGAAUGUAUAGAAAUGCAUUCCCAGGGUGGCUCUGCCUAGAGACUUUGAUUCAGUAAGGCCAAGGGAUCUGCCAUUAAAUAUCAAUACUUCCUCUUGUCUUCCCAUCUCUACUCUGGAUGCCACUACAAGUGAUCUCAACACAGUUCAAAAUCCUUUUAGAAAACAGAAGAUAAACAGUUUGUUUCCAAGGACUAGUGUGUACUUACCUUUGAUACAGAUCAGUGUCUCAGUAUCUGAAAGAAAAUUAAGUUGCUUUUCGUUUUUCUAUAUUUCUUCUUCAAAUGAUUAAAGGUCAAUUUCCAAAAACUUGCCACAUGGCUGUCAUCAAAUCCUGCCAAGCUCUCUGGAGGCAAGGGUCUAAAGUUCAGGACACAGCAAGAAGAAGCGUGAAGCAAAGUGACAGGAAAGAGCUGGGGCUUCUCCUGCACCCCAGAGCCCUCUGGGGCUUUCCUAGGUAGCACCCGAUCGCCCCAUACAGGGGUGGUGCAGGUGGCUGCUUGUCUAUCCCUUCUCAGGGAAACUCCAUCACAACCCUAUUGUGACUUGGGGAAAGCUUUAGAAACUUCACAAAUGGAAAGAUGAAGUUGUAAACAGAAAGUGGGUUUCAUGAAAUCAAAGGCAAAGACAGAAGUUAAACACUAAGCCAUUUGGAAUAGCUCGUGUCAAAAGGGGACGUAAGUAAAACAAUAGUUUCGUAAAAACAGAAAAAGAAAACAAACACAAAAUACCCCCCAAAACAAACAAACAAACAAACAAACAAACAAACAAACAGAAAAACCCCCAAACCAGUGUUAGAACACAUUCAAUAAAGGAAGUAUAGUCUAUUCCAUAAGAACUUGUCUGCUGAAAAUCUGGCUUAGUUUUGAGACCUUGGGAUUAGGGGAGGAAGACAUAAAGGACUCUCUCCCUUAAGUGACUUUCACAUGAAAUUAUUUAGGUAUUUUAUGCAACUUUUGGUACGUAAGAAAUUUAUGUACGUGAAAAUAGACCGAUGUUUUGAUCCUGUUAUGCAAAUGAGAGAAUUCACAUUUAGCUAAUCAAACCUGGAGGGGAUGGGUAAUACCUCUUUUGGUGUGCUAUCUCGGAGACCACGGCAAAUAUCCGCACCUGACUAUAAAUAAAAGGAAAUUGAAAAGGAUUUCCCAGAAGUCCCCGGGGAGAGUGCUUAAACAGAGAGUGACGCUCUCUGCAGAAUGAAGUGAUUUUUUUCUCAGGCAAUUCACCUAGAGACAUUUUUCUCCAGUUACUAAAGGUCUGGCUAGGAAGAGUCUCGAAUGACAUAUUCAACAGAAGAUGUCUUGGAAGGCCCUCUCAGUUCCUUUUUGGGACUCAAUAAGGGGACAAACUUAGAAACAGGGAAACAUUUGGCUGGCUCCUCAUCAGAAAAAAAAAAUAACCCCAUCUAGUAUUACAUGCAGCUUUGCUCAAAAUAAAACAGCUGCCUGGGAACAGAGUGCAGCCAUUUCAAGCUCAGCACAUCCAGGUUUUCUGUGUGCGUUAGCCUGAUCCAGUGUGUCAGGCUGAGGACAUAAGCAGGUGCCACUCCAGAAAGAAUGCCCAUCUAUUUUCCUCCCACUUAAUGUUUGAGCAUGGUCACAGUCACCAGAUGGGUCAGGGAAGCAAUGACAGCAAGGUAUAAAUCUUCAGAGGAUUUAUCAAUCUGAUUGAACUGAGAGGAUAAAGUAGAUUUUGCUAGAAAUCCAAUAAACUCUCCCCACCUCAAAGAGUAAUAAGGAUUUGCGCCAAUUGUCUCCUUUGCUAUCAUCCAAGAUCGCUUUCUCCUCUUUUCUCUCCGUUUCAUUUCUUUCACGUUAUGACUCAUUCUAUUGUCUAACGAUGUUAGGUGAGUCGCAGAUCCUGCAGCCUAAUUAGUUAAAGAAAGAACUGGUUUGGAUCAGGACAGAUCAGAGCAAGGGUAGGCUCUUUCUUUUUCACUCCGGUCCAAAGGGUUGUUCCUAGCUUUAAAAAAACAAAAACAAAAACAAAAACAAAAACAAAAACAAAAAUACCGAGGCUGGUGGGAUGGGGAGAUACCUCAAUGAGUAGAGCACUUACUGCUCAAACAUGGGGGUCUGAGUUCGAAUCCCCUAGAACUCACACAAGCUCACAUGGACCAUCAAUACCUCUAGGGUGAGGUGGGAGGCAGAGAAAAGAAAAUCAGAAGCUUGCGAGCUUGCGAGCUUGCGAGCUUAGCAUACACAGUGGCAAGCGACAGUAAGAUGCUGUCUCAAAGAACAUAGAAGGAGAAUUGAUUCCCGAGGCUGUCCUCUGACCUCCAUUCACUCUGUGAUGUGCACAUCCCACCAUCCUACAGAGCGUUUUCAAAGAUGAAGCCAACCGUUUUAGUGGUUGAGAGAGCAAGGUUAUGCGUAUAAAGCAUGGUGCUUUCUGCUCUCUCUCUCUCUCUCUCUCUCUCUCUCUCUCUCUCUCUCUCUCUCUCUGUGUGUGUGUGUGUGUGUGUGUGUGUGUGUGAUACCUGACACCCAAGGUUAGAUUUCCUAGCUCAAAGUUUGCUUUCUCCAAGAAGGCAGGAAUUAUCAACAAAGACACGAAAUGCUCACCAGCGUUUAAUUCUGGGGUCCUGGCUGUAGAAAUGUGAGACGCAUGGCUGUGAUUUCCUGUAAGUA